rnacentral:lncRNA from 1 species
AUGUUGCCACCUGAGUCCUUUAUGAAGCAAGAGUCCCUCAAUAAGGAAAAUCUGGCUUCCAGCAGCCCAAGUAGCUUGAUUACCUUAUAUGGACUGACUCGAGACUAGCCAAUCAACUAAGAUGAGCCCAACUGCAGCUGAGUAGCCCCUAACGCCUUCAAUUUUGCCUCACAACUUGGAUUGAGGAGAAAGAUUUGAGAGUCUUGGCUUCUGUCUCUUUGCCGGUAGACCUUGUAAUAAAGCCUUUUCUUUUCUCAAAAGCUGGUGCCAUCGUAUUGGCUUCCGUGUACGUCAGAUAGUGAACCCUUGCCCAGUAAGUUUAGCGAUGAGCUCCCUGAUAAAAUUAAAGGUAUUCGGGUUAUUUUGGUUGACUGGAAAUAUUUUGAAAGCAUCUCCCAGUUUUGUAUAAACGCAGUCUAAGAAUCCAAUGAAGCCUCUAAGCUUUUCUCUCAAAUAUGAAUCACAAGGUUGGAUCCCUAAACGGUCCAAGUAUCCCACUGUGGAAGAUUUCUCGAUGCCAGAGUCAACUAUAAGGCACAGAACCUUGCCUAUGGAAAUCUGUUGUAUCUGCCACAAGGAUUGGAGCUUCUGAGAGAACAAAUUCAGGCCUGGUUUUCUAAUUAUGACAACAUGCAGAGGGAAAACAUCUGUGCUGUCAGAGCUGAACAGCCGCAGCGGCUCUUGAUCUGUAUCCUCUGCCCUCUUUCUUGCUGGAGCUCUGGCUCCCUAGCAACUACCUCUAGUGAUUUCUCAGUGAUCAAGUCACGUUGCAUGGAACCCUGUCCAUGAUGCCAACUGGCAAAGAGAGAUUACCACUGACCAACUAAUCAGACUAGAUGUCUACACCCUGAGCCACCAUGUUUUACCAUGUCACUAAUGAGUCUGUGAAUAGGCUAAAACUGUCCCAGUUCUUCAAAGCUCCAUAUUUUCAAGACAUGGUGAAAGAAUCUCAGAUUGGACUUUUAAAAGCCUCCUGAGGCUAAGAAGCCAAGCAAAGGACUCACCAUCAGUCUUUGCCUGAAAUAUCUAUGGAUCUGGGUGAAGUCGUCUCUUCUUGGGAUCUCCAAAAUAUCCCUAACUCAUCUGGUCAAUUCAAGAUCUUGCUCUGCAUCUUGCCUGACUUUUUUUGAAUAUAUAAUUUUUUUAGAGCAGUCUUAGGUUUACAACAAAAUUGAUAGGAAGGUACAGAGACUUCCCAUAUACUUCAGGCCCUGAAACAUGCAGAGCCUCCACCAUUAUCAACAUGACUCGCUGAAAUUGUGCAUUUUACCAAGGACGAACCUACAAUGAUACAUCAUAAUCACCCAAAGUCCAUGGAUUACCCUAGGAUUCUCUUCUCGUAUUGUACGUUCUAUGGGUUCAGACGAAAGUGUAAUGACCAUGUAUCCAUCAUUAUAAUAGCAUACAAAAUAUUUUCAUUGCCUCCCAAAUCCCCUGUGCUCUGUCUAGUCACCUCCUCGCACCCAUCUUCCCUGAGAAACAGUGAUCUUUUUAUUGUCUCCAUUGUUUUGCCUUUUCUAGAAUGUCAUAUAGUCAGAAUAAUACAAUAUGUAGCCUUUCAGAUUGGCUUCUUUCACUUCGUUACAUGCAUUUAAAAUUCCUCUAUGACUUUUCAUGGUUUUUAUAGCUCCUUUCUUUUUAGUGUUGAACAAUAUUCCAUUGUCUGGAUGUACCACAGUUUAUCCAUUCACCUAUUGAAGGACAUCUUGAUUGCUUCCAAGUUUUGGAAAUUACGAAAAAAACUGUUAUAAACAUCCUGGUGUAGGGAUUUUGGUAUGUGGACGUACGUUUUCAACUCCUUUGGGUAAACACCAAGGGGUAUGAUUGCUGGA